UAAUACAGAGGUCUCGAGCGUUAGUCGGAUUCAUUGGGCUUAAAGCGUGCGUAGGCGGAUGUGCAGGCGUCGUGUGAAAGCCCUCGGCUCAACCGGGGAAUUGCACGGCGAACCGCAUGUCUUGAGACAAGUAGGGGCGGUCGGAACGAUAGGUGGAGUGGUGAAAUGCGUUGAUAUCUAUCGGAACGCCAAAGGUGAAGACAGACCGCUGGGCUUGUUCUGACGCUGAGGCACGAAAGCGUGGGGAGCAAACGGGAUUAGAUACCCCGGUAGUCCACGCCCUAAACAAUGUGCACUAGACCGAAGGAGGUACUGACGCCUUUUUCGGUCGAAGUAAAAACGUUGAGUGCACCGCCUGGGGAGUACGGUCGCAAGGCUA
rnacentral:rRNA from 1 species